AAUUCGAUGCAACGCGAAGAACCUUACCAGGUCUUGACAUCCACGAAUUCAUCUGAAAGGAUGGAGUGCCUUCGGGAGCGUGGAGACAGGUGGUGCAUGGUUGUCGUCAGCUCGUGUCGUGAGAUGUUGGGUUAAGUCCCGCAACGAGCGCAACCCUUGCUAUUAGUUGCUAACAGGUAGAGCUGAGCACUCUAAUGGGACUGCCGGUGACAAGCCGGAGGAAGGUGGGGAUGACGUCAAAUCAUCAUGCCCUUUAUGACCUGGGCUACACACGUGCUACAAUGGAUGGUACAGAGAGCAGCGAGGCAGCGAUGUGGAGCGAAUCUCAAAAAGCCAUUCUCAGUUCGGAUUGGAGUCUGCAACUCGACUCCAUGAAGUCGGAAUCGCUAGUAAUCGCGAAUCAGCAUGUCGCGGUGAAUGCGUUCCCGGGCCUU
rnacentral:rRNA from 1 species